CAAUAGCGUAUAUUUAAGUUGUUGCAGUUAAAAAGCUCGUAGUUGGAUUUCGGAUGGGAUUUGCCGGUACGUCGUUACGAUGUGCACUGGCCAGUCCUAUCUUGUUGUCGGGGACUAGCUCCUUGGAUUCACUUCCUGGGACUAGGAGCUGACGAGGUUACUUUGAGUAAAUUAGAGUGUUCAAAGCAAGCCUACGCUCUGAAUACAUUAGCAUGGAAUAACACGAUAGGACUCUGGCUUAUCUUGUUGGUCUGUGAGACCAGAGUAAUGAUUAAGAGGGACAGUCGGGGACAUUCGUAUUUCAUUGUCAGAGGUGAAAUUCUUGGAUUUAUGAAAGACGAACUUCUGCGAAAGCAUUUGUCAAGGAUGUUUUCAUUAA
rnacentral:rRNA from 1 species